AACGAACGCUGGCGGCAUGCCUAACACAUGCAAGUCGAACGAGACCUUCGGGUCUAGUGGCGCACGGGUGCGUAACGCGUGGGGACCUGCCCUUAGGUUCGGAAUAACUCCCCGAAAGGGGUGCUAAUACCGGAUAAUGUCUUCGGACCAAAGAUUUAUCGCCUUUGGAUGGGCCCGCGUUGGAUUAGCUAGUUGGUAGGGUAAAAGCCUACCAAGGCGACGAUCCAUAGCUGGUAUGAGAGGAUGAUCAGCCACACUGGGACUGAGACACGGCCCAGACUCCUACGGGAGGCAGCAGAGGGGAAUAUUGGAAAAUGGGCGAAAGCAUGAUCCAGCAAUGACGCGUGAGUGAUGAAGGCCUUAGGGUUGUAAAGCUCUUUUACCCGGGAUGAUAAUGACAGUACCGGGAGAAUAAGCUCCGGCUAACUCCGUG
rnacentral:rRNA from 1 species